GUGGGGAAUAUUGGACAAUGGGGGGAACCCUGAUCCAGCCAUGCCGCGUGUGUGAAGAAGGCCUUUUGGUUGUAAAGCACUUUAAGCGAGGAGGAGGCUACCGAGAUUAAUACUCUUGGAUAGUGGACGUUACUCGCAGAAUAAGCACCGGCUAACUCUGUGCCAGCAGCCGCGGUAAUACAGAGGGUGCAAGCGUUAAUCGGAUUUACUGGGCGUCAAGCGCGCGUAGGUGGUCAAUUAAGUCAAAUGUGAAAUCCCCGAGCUUAACUUGGGAAUUGCAUUCGAUACUGGUUGGCUAGAGUAUGGGAGAGGAUGGUAGAAUUCCAGGUGUAGCGGUGAAAUGCGUAGAGAUCUGGAGGAAUACCGAUGGCGAAGGCAGCCAUCUGGCCUAAUACUGACACUGAGGUGCGAAAGCAUGGGGAGCAAACAGGAUUAGAUACCCGAGUAGUCC
rnacentral:rRNA from 1 species